UGACCUGCCCACUGAUAAAAAUAUUUAACGGCCGCGGUAUUUAUGACCGUGCAAAGGUAGCAUAAUCAUUAGUCUUUUAAUUGGAGACUUGAAUGAAAGGUUUGACAAAAGAAAUACUGUCUUAUUUAGUAAAAAUUGAAUUUAACUUUUAAGUGAGAAGGCUUAAAUAGUUCAGGGGGACGAUAAGACCCUAUAAAGUUUUAUAGGAGAAUAAUUUUUUACUAAAUAUUAAAAGUUAUAAUUUAUUUUUUUAUUGGGUUGGGGCAACAAGGGUAUAAUUGUUAUUAAUUGCUUAAUUAUUUAUACAAAUAUAUUUGUUUAAAAGUUAAAUGAUCCUUUAAUUAUUUAAAGAUUAAGAGAUUAAAUUACUUUAGGGAUAACAGCGUUAUUUUUUUUAAGAGUUCUUAUCGAAAAAAGAGUUUGCGACCUCGAUGUUGAAUUAAAAUUUUCUAUAUAGUGCAGUUGUUAUAUAAGAAGGUCUGUUCGACCUUUAAUUUUUUACAUGAUUUGAGUUCAGACCGGUGUGAGCC
rnacentral:rRNA from 1 species